CACCGCCCGUCGCUACUCGGAACUGAGCCGUCUCGAGAAAAGCGGGGACUGCUGUUUCGAGACCUUCCGAGGUGGAGAUUCUUUGGUGGGAACCACCUUAAUCGCAGUGCCUUGAACCGGGCAGAAGUCGUAACAAGGUUUCCAUAGGUCAACCUGCGGGAG
rnacentral:ncRNA from 1 species